rnacentral:rRNA from 1 species
UACAGAGGUCUCAAGCGUUGUUCGGAUUCAUUGGGCGUAAAGGGUGCGUAGGUGGCGCCAUAAGUCAGGUGUGAAAUCUCGGGCUUAACUCCGAAACUGCAUUUGAUACUGUGGUGCUUGAGGACUGGAGAGGAGACUGGAAUUCACGGUGUAGCAGUGAAAUGCGCAGAUAUCAGGAAGAACACCCGUGGCGAAGGCGGCUCUCUGGGACGGUACUGACGCUGAGACGCGAAAGCGUGGGGAGCGAACAGG